rnacentral:rRNA from 1 species
UAUCUCUGUAGAGUCUGCAUAUCAAUAAGCGGAGGAAAAGAAACUAACUAGGAUUCCCUUAGUAACGGCGAGUGAAGCGGGAAGAGCUCAAAUUUGAAAUCUUCAAGGUUUUACCUGACGAAUUGUAGUUUAAAGAAGUGUUUUCUGUUGGUGUUUUGGUAAAAGUUCUUUGGAAUAGGACAUCAUAGAGGGUGAGAAUCCCGUAUUUGACCAUUACUUCCAGCGUUGUGAUACACUUUCAAAGAGUCGGAUUGUUUGGGAAUGCAGUCCAAAACGGGUGGUAAAUUUCAUCUAAAGCUAAAUAUUGGCGAGAGACCGAUAGCGAACAAGUACCGUGAGGGAAAGAUGAAAAGAACUUUGAAAAGAGAGUUAAACAGUACGUGAAAUUGUCAAAAGGGAAGCGUUUGACACCAGUGUUGUUUUCUCGAAAAUCAAUUAAAAAAAGUUGGAUUUUGUAUUGUUAAGACCUUAUCAGCUUACUGUACUCUUUUCUUGCUUUUUUUAAUGCACUUUUCGUUUAACAAGUCAACAUCAAUUUCUUUUGUUGUAAAAGAGUCAUUGGAAGGUGGCUUUCACUUCGGUGAAAGUGUUUAUAGCCUUUGGCUUCUGCAAUCGGAGAGAUUGAGGUCUGCAGCGUAGAUCCUUCGGGGCUAGAUACGUAGAUGCUAAGUUAUAGUUUUUUAUAGACAACUUGUUGACUAUAAUUAAUCAUGUAGCUUACUCGUUUGCGCUAUUUUACCUACGCUUAGGAUGUUGAAGAUGUAGCACAUCAU